CCCACACUCAAAAGUAGGAACUUACACAAGGGCGUGCCUCCCAUUUUUCUUAUUUCUCACAGGAAAACUCACUCAGAGCAUGUCCCCAUAGAGCAAGGUGCAUGGACGUUUCUCCAAGAAGGAGACUGUCUGUAGUCUCUCCCCAGGGUGAGAGGCCACUCGGCUCUGAUCGCACUGUCUGCCAUCUCCAGGGUGGUUACCUAACUAGCCUUGCUAAAUCUUUAUUCAUAAUGUGGGGUGGUAACUCAAGUAUGCCUGGCUCCAGAAUCUAGAAAACAUAUUCUUUGGCUCUGGAAACCAUGGAAGAUGUGAACCCAAAAUCCUGGGAAACAGCCCAGAAAUCCGCUGCUGCUCCUGCUGCCCUCUGGAUGCUCUAAUCAAUCAACUGUACCGGCAAGACUUCUCAGAUGCAAACGCUGAGGAGCGUUAAGUGGCUUCUGAUCUGAGGUCCAGCACUGCCAGAGAAGGAGAGGCCGGAGCUCAAAUGAAAGUUCUGUGGGUCAGGAGUCCCGGCAUGGCUUAGCUGGGUGCCCUGCUCUGGGUCUCUCCUGCAGCUGCAAUGGAGUUGCCAGCCAGGGCUGAUGUCUCCUCUCUUGGCUCAACCAGGAAGGAGCCACUUUCUGGUUCAUUCUUUUCUCCUGGGCUGUCGGACUAAGAGCUUCAGUUCUUCAUUGGCUGUCAGCCGGAGGCUGCCUUUGGGUCCUUCUCUCCAGUGUGGUAGCUGUAUCAUCAAAGUGUUUAAGCCAAGAAGGCACUUGAGAGAGUCUGCUAGCAAGACAGAAGUUGCAAUAUCUGUAAUCUAAUCACGGGAGCGACAUCACAUCACCUUUGCCAUGUUCUGUUCAUUAGAAGCCAGUCACAAGGUCACGUCCACCCUCAAGGAAGUUUUGUAGGUCAGGAGUCCAGACAGGUUUGCACGCAGGUUAUUGCAACGCUGAAAUGAAGACGUCAGUGGCCAGGCUCUGGGGAAGAAUCUAGAAAUACUCUAGACGUUCAAUUUAUUGGAGGAGGCUUCCAACAUCCGUUCUUCUCCGCUGGGUGCGGCUAGGGAGGUUUUGACCACCAGAGGGCGCAAGAACCACGAGCCCUGUCGCCCGAGUUCCAGCUCCCCUCGGCCACCGCGGUCCAGAGUGUCUGCUCAAGGAAGCACCAUCCACAAGGCUAGUGACCCGGGCAGCCCCCCUGCUGGUGGUGGACCCGCCACCCCCCUCCCAGCUGAUGGUGGAACCUGUGAGGGGGAGUUCAAGAAAGAAGGUACCUGGAGGACAGAGGAACUCAGCCGUGUUAGGAGGGACUUUUUUAAAAAAAAUCUUUUUCUUUUUUUUAAAAGAUUUUAUUUAUUUAUUUGAG